GAUGAACGCUGGCGGCGUGCUUAACACAUGCAAGUCGAACGGUGAAGCAGGAGCUUGCUCCUGUGGAUCAGUGGCGAACGGGUGAGUAACACGUGAGCAAUCUGCCCUGGACUCUGGGAUAAGCGUUGGGAACGACGUCUAAUACCGGAUACGAGGCGUGGGGGCAUCCCCAACGCCUGGAAAGAACUUCGGUCCAGGAUGAGCUCGCGGCCUAUCAGGUAGUUGGUGAGGUAACGGCUCACCAAGCCGACGACGGGUAGCCGGCCUGAGAGGGUGACCGGCCACACUGGGACUGAGACACGGCCCAGACUCCUACGGGAGGCAGCAGUGGGGAAUAUUGCACAAUGGGCGCAAGCCUGAUGCAGCAACGCCGCGUGAGGGACGACGGCCUUCGGGUUGUAAACCUCUUUUAGCAGGGAAGAAGCGAAAGUGACGGUACCUGCAGAAAAAGCACCGGCUAACUACGUGCCAGCCGCCGCCGUAACAC
rnacentral:rRNA from 1 species